rnacentral:rRNA from 1 species
GACGAACGCUGGCGGCGUGCUUAACACAAGCAAGUCGAACGCUGAAGCUCAGCUUGCUGGGUGGAUGAGUGGCGAACGGGUGAGUAACACGUGAGUAACCUGCCCUCUUCUUUGGGAUAACGCCCGGAAACGGGUGCUAAUACUGGAUAUUCACUGAUUCUCGCAUGGGGGUUGGUGGAAAGGUUUUUUCUGGUGGGGGAUGGGCUCGCGGCCUAUCAGCUUGUUGGUGGGGUGAUGGCCUACCAAGGCUUUGACGGGUAGCCGGCCUGAGAGGGUGACCGGUCACAUUGGGACUGAGAUACGGCCCAGACUCCUACGGGAGGCAGCAGUGGGGAAUAUUGCACAAUGGGCGAAAGCCUGAUGCAGCGACGCCGCGUGAGGGAUGGAGGCCUUCGGGUUGUAAACCUCUUUCGCUCAUGGUCAAGCCGCAGCUUUGGGUUGUGGUGAGGGUAGUGGGUAAAGAAGCGCCGGCUAACUACGUG